rnacentral:sRNA from 1 species
ACCAGGUGCCAUCCCGCGCAUAUGCGGAAAUCAUCCUCUCUAUUGCUUUUUCUUCACCGCUAUCCCUUGGGCUUUACUCACCCUCUGUGAGUUCUACACUGAAAAACUGAAAAUGAGUUGUGAGGAUCACUCGACCGAUAUGUUAAAGGAAAUUGCUUUUAUGAAAUAUCUAUGACUAGUUGAGAAUUAUCUGUUAGGCACUGGGGCAAAAGAGCUCAAUCACCACCAGCGCCAUGCUGGUGUUGAGGGGGACGAAUCACCCAAUCCAAUCCCUCCAACCUUAACUAACUAUCCUUCACCGACUUACCUAAUGAUUCGCGCGACUCGCUAUAAACGGUGCUACGCAGUAGGAAAAAUCUAAGAGGCUCGCUUCAUUUCAGAUGAUAGCCAUAAUGACCUCUAUCAGAAUGCGCUUUCAAAACCCCUUCUCAGCCAUUAUACAUGAAGCAGCAGCAUGUAAACCUUUGCUCACGAAUUGCAGAUGUGGAAAGUGAAGUGGACUGAGGUACUGAAGUACCGCCGAUGACAUGCUUUGCAGUGAGAUUUUGAUAUCACACAUGGCGUAUCAAGCAUAUUGAAGAGUGGAGGAGAAAGGAAAAUCCUAUGGGUGCCUUGACAUGAGAGCUUGGCAUUCAUACCUCCGGGGGGUUAUUAGCCCUUAACUACAUGGAUAAAUGAUGGGCUAUCAUCAACUUCAGAGGUGGGGGUUCUGGUUGUGCAUUUCACCCUUCUAUGCUGCGAGGAAUACAGAUUGAGGAUACUACGGAGAAUGUAUAUAAAGCCUGAACAUUGUAUACUAGUAGUAAUUGUUUUAAAUACUAUUGAAGGAUAAAGGUCAACGGAUGCUCGUAUGCUCGAAGGUGACAAUGCUUUUUCCACCAGGCUAAAUUCUUAUUAGCAAGCAACGGCAA